rnacentral:rRNA from 1 species
CUACGAGCGCAACCCCUAUUGUUAGUUGCCAUCAUUCAGUGGGGCACUCUAGCGAGACUGCCGGUAAUAAACCGGAGGAAGGUGGGGAUGACGUCAAAUCAUCAUGCCCCUUAUGACCUGGGCUACACACGUGCUACAAUGGUUGGUACAACGAGUUGCGAGUCGGUGACGGCGAGCUAAUCUCUUAAAGCCAAUCUCAGUUCGGAUUGUAGGCUGCAACUCGCCUACAUGAAGUCGGAAUCGCUAGUAAUCGCGGAUCAGCACGCCGCGGUGAAUACGUUCCCGGGCCUU